UAGCGUAGGGUGCAAGCGUUUAAUCGGAAUUACUGGGCGUAAAGCGUGCGCAGGCGGUUUUGUAAGUCAGAUGUGAAAUCCCCGGGCUUAACCUGGGAACUGCGUUUGAAACUACAAGGCUAGAGUGUGGCAGAGGGGGGUGGAAUUCCACGUGUAGCAGUGAAAUGCGUAGAGAUGUGGAGGAACACCGAUGGCGAAGGCAGCCCCUGGGUUAACACUGACGCUCAGGCACGAAAGCGUGGGGAGCAAACAGG
rnacentral:rRNA from 1 species